rnacentral:ncRNA from 1 species
AUGUCCUGCUCGUGAUCGUCUUCUCACCCGUCACCGGCAGGCAGCCAGAGGAGAACCCCCGCGAGGACGUGACUCGCGGGGGUUCUCG